CCAAACUUGGUCAUUUAGAGGAAGUAAAAGUCGUAACAAGGUUUCCGUAGGUGAACCUGCGGAAGGAUCAUUAUCAAUCUUAGCGGAACCUUCAAUGUAGGAGGUUUUCGCGCAUGUAUAUAUUUAAAACCAACUCUAAUGAAUCAAAUGAGAAUUAUAUUUAUUGAAAUAAAUAUAUAAAAAGAUCACUUUCAACAACGGAUCUCUUGGCUCUCGCAUCGAUGAAGAACGCAGC
rnacentral:misc_RNA from 1 species